rnacentral:rRNA from 1 species
CGCUGAACUUAAGCAUAUCAAUAAGCGGAGGAAAAGAAACCAACAGGGAUUGCCUCAGUAACGGCGAGUGAAGUGGCAACAGCUCAAAUUUGAAAUCUGGUUCCUCUGGGGCCCGAGUUGUAAUUUGUAGAGGAUGCCUUCGGGUUUGGCCCCGGCCUAAGUUCCUUGGAACAGGACGUCACAGAGGGUGAGAAUCCCGUAUGUGGCUGGAGGUCUAUACCCAUGUGAAGCUCCUUCGACGAGUCGAGUUGUUUGGGAAUGCAGCUCAAAAUGGGUGGUAAGUUUCAUCUAAAGCUAAAUAUUGGCGGGAGACCGAUAGCGCACAAGUAGAGUGAUCGAAAGAUGAAAAGCACUUUGGAAAGAGAGUUAAAAAGUACGUGAAAUUGUUGAAAGGGAAGCGCUUGCAACCAGACUUGCCCUUAGUUGAUCAACCGGUGUUCUUCACCGGUGCACUUGACUAGGGUCAGGCCAGCAUCGGUUUAUGCGGUUGGAAAAAGAUCGUAGGAAUGUGGCUCCCUUAGGGGAGUGUUAUAGCCUACGGUGUCAUGCAACCAGUUUAGACCGAGGACCGCGCCUUUGUGCUAGGAUGCUGGCGUAAUGGUUGUAAGCGACCCGUCUUGAAACACGGACCAAGGAGUCUAACAUCUAUGCAAGUGUUUGGGUGUUAAACCCAUGCGCGUAAUGAAAGUGAAUGGAGGUGGGAACCCCUAAGGGUGCACCAUCGACCGAUCCUGAUGUCUUCGGAUGGAUUUGAGUAUGAGCAUAGCUGUUGGGACCCGAAAGAUGGUGAACUAUGCCUGAAUAGGGUGAAGCCAGAGGAAACUCUGGUGGAGGCUCGCAGCGGUUCUGACGUGCAAAUCGAUCGUCAAAUUUGGGUAUAGGGGCGAAAGACUAAUCGAACCAUCUAGUAGCUGGUUCCUGCCGAAGUUUCCCUCAGGAUAA